GGACAAUACCCCUAAUGCGCCUUGAAAUGAGGAACACAAAAGUCACGUGUACACAAAAAAUCUCUGUGUAGUGAUAUUUGACACAUUUCUAUGAUAAACAAAUAACUGAGCUGAACCAUUAGUGUUAAUUUAGAAAAUAAGGGAACACAGAAUAAAUGUGUAAUAACCAUGGAGCUAUGAAAUGUGUUCAAAGUAUUAAAAUUUCAAAGAACUUAUUGUGUUAAAAUUGGGAUUUUUUACCAUGAGGAGCGACAUCGCAAAAGGAUACUCGGGGUUUGCUAAAUUACGGAAAAAUGAAUCACACUUCGUACCCCGAAAAUUUAACCACAUAUGUAAAAAUGUCUCAGCUUCGAAACAAGCCAUCAUACAUAUACAAGUUUACGAUAUGGGCUGAGCAACAGAAGAAAACGUUACCAUUACGGCCUAUGGAAUAACAAUUGCGCAUAUUGCCCCAUCUUGUGAGCUAGGAUCCAGAGAUGUCUUAAGCUAAUUUCACCUUGUACACCACAGAAAAUUGUUAAAAUGAUGUUCCAGACAUAUCAUUACUUUUAAAUAUGAGAUGACAAACUAAAGGUUUUAAAAAGUCCUGAAUAACUGAAAUGGACAAAAAUACACAGAUUUAUUCAGAAUGUCAUACCGAUGAAGAUCAUCUAAAAAUAUUUGGAAAAAUCAGAACUAUGGAUUUCAAUAUCUUGUGAGCUAGGAUCCAGAGAUGUCUUAAGCUAAUUUCACCUUGUACACCACAGAAAAUUGUUAAAAUGAUGGUUAGUAGUUUUUUAUUUAUACCUAGUUAUCAUAAAUGAUUUCAGAUAAAUAUUAUUGAUAAAGAACAGCAAAAAUUCAAUAAAAUUUUCACUUUUAAAUGCAUUACUGGCACGGGGCUGAACACUUUUUUUAGGCACAGUCAUAACUUUGUUUACCCCGAGAGAUCCGAAAUGAAUUGUUUAUUCAAUUGAAAAAGGCAAGAAAAAACUUACAUGUAAUAUAAAUAAAUUUUCCAGACAUAUCAUUACUUUUAAAUAUGAGAUGACAAACUAAAGGUUUUAAAAAGUCCUGAAUAACUGAAAUGGACAAAAAUACACAGAUUUAUUCAGAAUGUCAUACCGAUGAAGAUCAUCUAAAAAUAUUUGGAAAAAUCAGAACUAUGGAUUUCAAUAUGGGACAAUACCCCUAAUGCGCCUUGAAAUGAGGAACACAAAAGUCACGUGUACACAAAAAAUCUCUGUGUAGUGAUAUUUGACACAUUUCUAUGAUAAACAAAUAACUGAGCUGAACCAUUAGUGUUAAUUUAGAAAAUAAGGGAACACAGAAUAAAUGUGUAAUAACCAUGGAGCUAUGAAAUGUGUUCAAAGUAUUAAAAUUUCAAAGAACUUAUUGUGUUAAAAUUGGGAUUUUUUACCAUGAGGAGCGACAUCGCAAAAGGAUACUCGGGGUUUGCUAAAUUACGGAAAAAUGAAUCACACUUCGUACCCCGAAAAUUUAACCACAUAUGUAAAAAUGUCUCAGCUUCGAAACAAGCCAUCAUACAUAUACAAGUUUACGAUAUGGGCUGAGCAACAGAAGAAAACGUUACCAUUACGGCCUAUGGAAUAACAAUUGCGCAUAUUGCCC